CGAAUUUUCUAUUAAUAGAGUUUAACAUUUAUUAUAGGUAUAUAAAUGAUCAUUGUAGGAAGUAAAUGACGGCGAUUAAAGUUAAUUUUUCUAUCACUAUUGGCCGUGGUAAUAAAUGGUUUACCUCGCCUGUUGUUCCAGCUUUCGCUUCCUGUUAUCGAUGGCCACUCUCCGUCUUUCCUUUUUUUACGCGCUUCGGCAUUUAGCGGCGUACAGUAUUUUGAAAAAUACAGUUACGCGCAAAACUCAAACCAUAUAUCUCUGUGGAGAGCUAUUGACCCCGUCUAGCAUUUACCUAGUAGACUGGUUACAAAAUCCAUCCCGUCAUAAAUUU
rnacentral:lncRNA from 1 species